GACAGUUUGGCCGAGUGGUCUAAGGCACUAGAUUUAGGUUCAAAAGGGUGUGGGUUCAAAUCCCACAGCUGUCA